CGACUACAAGUUCUUGGUGUGCUCGGGCCGCUGCCCCACUCCCAGUGUGUCCCCUCAUCUGUAGCAGUGCGCGCUGACCCUCCUUUAUGCUGGAUAUUCUACUUCAUUCUUCUUUCUUGGGUGAUAUGGGGGAUCAUUCAAAAAAGAAGACCGGGAUCGCCAUGUGUGUCGGCUGCGGAAGUCAGAUCCAUGACCAGUAUAUCCUGCGGGUCUCCCCGGACCUGGAGUGGCACGCGGCUUGCUUGAAGUGCGCAGAGUGCAGUCAGUACCUGGACGAGACCUGCACUUGCUUCGUCCGGGACGGCAAGACCUAUUGCAAAAGAGACUACGUAAGGUUAUUCGGUAUUAAAUGUGCAAAAUGUAACGUGGGCUUCUGCAGUAGUGACCUGGUGAUGCGAGCUCGAGACAACGUUUAUCACAUGGAGUGUUUCAGGUGCUCGGUGUGCAGCAGGCACCUCCUGCCGGGAGAUGAGUUCUCUCUGCGGGAAGAGGAGCUGCUGUGCCGCGCUGAUCACGGACUGCUGCUGGAGCGCGCUGCGUCGGGAAGUCCACCGAUCAGCCCCGGUAACACACACUCCACCAGAGCCCUGCACAUGGCCGAGCCGGUGGUACCUGUGCGGCAGCCCCCACACCGCAACCACGUCCACAAGCAGUCGGAGAAGACGACCCGCGUCCGCACCGUGCUCAACGAGAAGCAGUUGCACACACUGCGCACGUGCUACAACGCCAACCCGCGACCUGACGCGCUCAUGAAGGAGCAGUUGGUGGAGAUGACGGGCCUCAGUCCGCGAGUUAUCCGCGUCUGGUUCCAGAACAAACGCUGCAAGGACAAGAAGCGGUCCAUCCUCAUGAAGCAACUCCAGCAGCAGCAGCACAGCGACAAAACUAAUCUCCAAGGCCUAACAGGGACACCUCUGGUGGCAGGUAGUCCCAUCCGGCAUGAUAACACCAUGCAGGGGAAUCCAGUAGAAGUUCAAACCUACCAGCCGCCGUGGAAAGCGCUGAGCGAGUUCGCGCUACAGAGUGACCUGGAGCAGCCUGCCUUUCAACAGCUGAUUGACCUGUGAUAGUGAAGGAACAUGAAUGAAAACUCUUGAAAAUAUCUUGAUCUGCAAUGGAAAAGUCUGCUUCGUUUUGUUUUAUAGGGUGUCCUUCUCUGAGUCGGGUUCUCUGGGCACCUCCUCGGGCAGUGAUGUGACUUCGCUGUCAUCGCAGUUACCCGACACCCCCAACAGCAUGGUGUCCAGUCCUGUGGAGACGUGAUGGAGUCUAUGUGACCUCUGUCCACCCCAGCAUGCUGAACCCCACCCUGAUCUGCAUGAACACAGAGCACCUCACCAUGGCCACCUCCACCUGAGGAACACGACGGGAAUCACAGAAAGCGACAUACAGCAACACAGUGGAUUAAACUCGGAACGCACAAAAAUAGAUCUGGCAAAAAAAAACAAAAAACCUUAAUAAAUAAAACAACAAAAAGAUGAAGAAACAAACAAAAAAGAAAACACGGAGCCAAACCACAGGGACUCUCUACACACGUUUACUUCAGGAAUCCACACGGAUCCGAGAUGUUCCCGCGGAUUAUGAACAAGUUGACCCACUGUCAACUACAUAACAAAUAACAAUAAUGUCUUUACCAGUAUUCAUUAUGUAGUUUUAUCAACACCUGAUGACAUUUUCCCCAAUAUCAGUGAGACAUCAGAGCCACGUCUGUCUUUAAUGCGCAUGAUCUCCGAAGACAAUGUAUAAAAAGUGACAUGUAAACUAUUUUAUCUUUACGGAUGGAGGACUAAUUGUUUGAACUUCUCGAGAGAAAAAAAAGUAAGUUAUUGUUAUUUAUUGUCGGGACUAGUUAGUCCGAACGAGAAUUGAGAAAUGACCUUAAUAAACUAUGCUAAGUGUUGUUUAUGUCUGAGAAACAAAAAAACCUUUGCAUGCAUAUUUUUUAACAUAAAAAUGACCAAAAACAAAA